rnacentral:lncRNA from 1 species
UGAUUAAUAAAAAAUUAUUGUUCUUUCAUGGAGACCAUGCUUCAUUCUUCUCGUGUUUGGAGUAAAAACCUUUCUCUGAAUUCUAUUAUCAAACCGCUGUUAGGGUUGACUAUAUGAUUAGCAUGAGCAUUUAUCGAAUGUGAGAGCUAAAAAGGAAUGUGAUUGUCCAAGAACAAACGUAAGGGGGCAAAGAGAGUUGAUCGGAAGUUUCCAUUCCACCCACAUCUCCCUCCCUCACCACCUAAACCUCCUUGUCACACCUCAACUAGGAGAGAUAUUUCAAUGUAGCGAACACAGACGGAACACUGCAUGUCAUUAUACAAUUAGAAAGACACUUAAAAAGAUAAAACUUUACUCUAAUUAUAUAUUAACAUGUGUGGCGUACCGCCCACGUUCCAAACACACUGAAAAAUCUCUCCUCGACUAGGUCUCCCUCCCAAUGUGAGGUGCACCAAUUUAUUUUUCACCGGGAAUACAGGACACAUAGUGUGAGGUGCACCAUCCUAUUCACCAUUUGUGAGUAACGUAUUUUACCAUACAAUUUUAUAACUUGAACCGCACAUUUAUUUAAUCAUCAUUCAAAUAUCAUUUCCACAAACAUGUAUCUAAGUAUCAAAUAAACAACAAGAAAAGAGGGGUUUCAGUGACCAACACCGUUAAUUUAAUUUAUACAUAACGAUUUUUGAUUCGAUCAACAUCCUAUACAAAUGAUCUUUAAAUAAAAAGUAAAAAAAAUAAACGACUCUAAUUAUGAAAUUUUCUUUUAUUAGAAUUGGACAAAUCAUGUCCUUUUACUUUUCCAUAUUAUAAACACUCGCAUCAUGUCCUUUUACUUUUCGAUAUUCUAUAAGCACUCGCAAACAAGAAUAAAAUAUAGAAAAGAAAAAGAAAAAACAAGAGCAUACUCUGCACUUAAAAUCAUCUCUAACCUUUAGAGUAAAACCUAAAAUUUUUAGUCCAAAAAAUUUAUGUUUUAACUCACAAACAACUUUUAUGCUCUAACUGGCCUAAAAAAUUUAGCCCCAAAUUGUUAAAUAAUGAAUUUAGGCUUUUUUUUAACUUAACUUUAACAAAAAAUUAUAUAGACUAUCCUAAAUUAAUUUUAUGAACAUUUUGACCUAAAAAUAUUUAAAUUCCAAUAAAUAUUGAAAAAUUACUAAAUUGACACAUGAAACUCAUGACACACUAUGGAAGAAUAUGAAACACAUGAUAGAGAUUGAAAGAAUUGUAAAUAGGAAGAAAUGGAAAUGGGAAGAAAUGGUUUUGGAAGAUGAUAGAAAGAAAAAUUGGAAGAAUUGUAGGAGAAAAUUGAGUUUUGUGUAGAUGUUUGAGCAAAUACAUAGGUAUUGAAAAAUCACUAAAUUGACACAUGAAACUCAUGACACACUAUGGAAGAAUAUGAAACACAUGAUAGGGAUUGAAAGAAUUGUAAAUAGGAAGAAAUGGAAAUGGGAAGAAAUGGUUUUGGAAGAUGAUAGAAAGAAAAUUUGGAAGAAUUGUAGGAGAAAAGUAAGUUUUGUGUGGAUGUUUGAACAAAUACAUAGGUAUUUAUUGAGUUUUUAGGUGAAUUUUGAGUUAAAUAUUUUUUUUAAUUAUUUUAGCCAUUGAAUUUAAAUUUGGAUAAUUAGAUCUUUUUUUUACCGUUAGAUUUAAUUAUAUUAUAUCUCAGCCGCUGAAUUUAAUAAAUAUAUAAAUAUA